AAAACAUUUCAUUCUUCAGAGAGAUACCAAGAAACGUAAGUUAAUUGAAUUAAAUAACUAAAUUAAAUAUUUUUGUCUUAAAUGGAGUGACGCUAAUUAUUAUGUUGUUUUUGUUACAGUCGUGAAACAAUAGCCAUGGUGGAAAGAAAUACGAAGAUUUGGACGGGGACUGAUAUCAAAGGGAUUGCAACUGAACCUAUGAGGAACGGAAGAGGAGGAGAAAAGGAAAGGGAGGUGGUGGUGUGGGAGGUGGUGGCGCCGGGACCCACC